rnacentral:pre_miRNA from 1 species
UACUCCUGUUCUGUGUAUGGCACUGGUAGAAUUCACUGUGCAACCCCGCGGUCAGUGAAUUACCAUAGGGCCAUAAACAGAGCAGAGAAAG